rnacentral:rRNA from 1 species
GACGAAGGUGGCGAGCGUUGUUCGGAAUCACUGGGCAUAAAGCGCGCGUAGGCGGUGCCGUAAGUCGGAUGUGAAAUCCCUCGGCCUAACCGAGGAACUGCGUCCGAUACUGCGGUGCUUGAGGAUCAGAGGGGUGCGUGGAAUUUCCGGCGGAGCGGUGAAAUGCGUUGAUAUCGGAAGGAACUCCGGCGGCGAAAGCGAUGCACUGGCUGAUUUCUGACGCUGAGGUGCGAAAGCCAGGGGAGCAAACGGG